GGCAACGGAUCAAGACUCUCUCAGCUCUCAUGCCUCCAUCCUGUCUGAAGCAGCUCCUGACCUUACUAUGGUAACAGUUGUUCCUGGAGAAUGUCAUUCAGGUUGGCAAUGUCUCCGUCCUCUAUUGCAGCAAUGGACACUUGGAUCCAACCCACCAGCAUCCAACCUUUAAGGACAGAGUGGAGCUGGUGGACAGAGAGCUCAAGGACGGAGAUGUGUCUUUAAUUCUGAAGAAUGUGAGCAGCAUCUACAAUGGGACAUACGAGUGUCGAGAUCAGGUGAUUCAAGACGUAAAAAGAGAGCCAUUAUUGACUUUGAGCCAAUUAGAACCAUCCAACUGCAGGUCACAGUCCCAGGUCAGGAGAGCGCACGCUACAAGGAUGAAAACUCAUUGAAUGAUGGAUGGAAACUCCUCUCCUGUAGGCCGAUACAUUGGACUGGCAGCAGGUGUUCCAGUUGGACUGAUUCUUGUAGUUGCUGCAGUGGUUGGUGUCCUGGCAUAUAAAAGACGUCAGGACAAGAGAUCAAGACAACCUGCUGCUGAUGAUGAUGAUAAAGCAUUGGCCAUUCAGUUCAUCUGACAACUCACAGAGUACUACGAAGCAAGAUUUGGCAUAAUAUAGCUAUACAUAAUAGGUAAUUCCAGGUUCAACCCAGGGUUGUCUGUAUCAUGAUGGUGGAUCACUUGUUACCGAGUUAAAUCACCAUGGUAAUUUAUGCUGAACACCUAACUUGGUCGGGAGAAGGUUAUGUUGGAGAUAAGAGACCAACCAAUCGUUAACCAUCGUUGAUAACGAUGGCGUCACCGUUCUUAGAAGAUGGAGCUCGGUGCAGAGAGAGAGG